GAGCAUACUCCUCUCCAUCCCCCUUUGA
rnacentral:sRNA from 1 species